GACAGAGGGUGCAACCGUUGUUCGGAAUUACCGGGCGUAAAGCGCGUGUAGGCUGCUUCGCAAGUCGGAUGUGAAAGCCCUGGGCUCAACCCAGGAAGUGCAUUCGAAACUGCAGAGCUGGAGUCCUGGAGAGGAAGGCGGAAUUCUCGGUGUAGAGGUGAAAUUCGUAGAUAUCGAGAGGAACACCGGUGGCGAAGGCGGCCUUCUGGACAGUGACUGACGCUGAGACGCGAAAGCGUGGGGAGCAAACAGG
rnacentral:rRNA from 1 species